rnacentral:lncRNA from 1 species
GAAUACCCGGCGAUCACCGGAAAUGAGUCACACACCACUCGGGUCGCUGUUUUCGGUUACCUUCAGGAUAACAUGAUACCUUUAGGAUGCAGCCUCUGAAAUGAGAGUCAGCUACAGACAGCCCAAACAGGUACCACGAUGAACCACUCGAUUCCGCCAUCUUGUAACGGUCAACAACUGUCCUGUAUCCUCCAGACACCGGUGGGAGGAACCGAAGCACCUCUUUGACCACGCAGUCCAGCUUCACCUUCUUCACUGAUGGCAUUCCCGUUGCAUCGAGAGCGGCAGUGUCCAUGGCCAUCAGUGAUCAAGCCCUCGCUCUCCAGCUCUGCUCUGGCUCGUUCGCUCACGUCUGGAUGACGCAGCAGCUGCAUGAUCAGGGAUGUUGAAGCGCUGGCCGUCGUCGAGUGGGCAGCGAAGAUUAACUCAACUGCCGUUUCCUGCAAUGCAUUUUAAUUUCGUAAGUCUAAAUUCAAAUGAAAUGCAAAUAUUUCAGU